AAGCUGUCACAUGACUACACUGAAGUCAGGCUCGGAAUGGCCAGAAGCAUCUGUACCCUAUCCCUAAAUUUACUAAUGGCAGUAUUAUCCAGGUAGCAUGGCAGGCUGAGCUUGUAAGAACUAUGGCGCUCCAAGCUCCUCGCACAUCGGUGUUCACCUUCCAGUCUGCAGUGCACAGCGCCCAUGUUCUGCAGUGUCUGAAUGAGCAGAGACAGCAGGACGUCCUGUGUGAUGUGACGGUGGUGGUGGAAGACAGGAGUUUCCGUGCUCAUUGCUCUGUCUUGGCUUCUUGCAGUGAAUACUUUCACAGCAGGAUCACGAGUGUCACCAGCCAGAAUCCCAUCAUCACCUUGCCACAUGAGGUGACCGUAGAGGGGUUUGAACCUUUGCUUCAAUUUGCCUAUACAUCAAAGCUCCUUUUUACCAAAGAAAACAUUGAUGCUAUUCACAGCAGUGCUGAGGUUUUAGGAUUUCACAACUUGGAGUCGACAUGCUUUGAUUUUCUCAUCCCAAAGUUUUCUGAAAUCAAAAAAUCCUCACAGGUGGUCAAGCAAAAAGUCUGUUGCCAGAACCCGGAUCCUAGUGCAAGUUUUGGCUCUCGUGCAGAGAGUAGCCAACCAGAAUCAUGUGAGUCACACAGCUCAGUGCCUUCAGGAGGUGAUGAACAAAUAGACUUCCCGUCACAGUGUCCACAGAGUGCACAAGGUCAGACAAACAGCAGGGAGGAACACUUCUGUUUGGAGAACUGUGGACCACAAAUGGCCCCCUUAUCUCUGGAGUUAACAGGAAAUGGCAUGUGCCCCAUGUUGUCUCUACCUUGCCCAAACUCUGAGAAAGCAGAUCAUCCGUCUCAGUUUUGUGAAAAAGACAUUUUAGAGAUGGGAGACGUGUGCAAUCAAAGUGAGAUGAGUUUGGCAGACUGCGGCUUAUCCUGUGAGCUGUCAGCCUCAGGGGAUGUGAAUCCACCAAAACUCAUUGAUCCACCAGGCAGAGAAAUUAAACAAACUGUUGAGACGCUUGGUGCAGAAACCAAUUGCAUCCCUAGCUCAUGUCCACUCGAGACUUCAGGGGCAGAAGAUUGCAGUUCUUUAAUAAAACAGAGUGAGGCUCACUUUGAACAGGGAAUGACAGGUGAUCUUUCAAACUCUGCACUGACUACUCUAAGCCAUGAGGAAGGAUAUGGCGAGAGAAGUCGCGUGGAGAGGGAGGUGGCUGAACAUCUGGCAAAAGGAUUCUGGUCCGAGCUCUGCCCGUCUCAGGCUCAGCCACUUCCUGUGGAUCCAGUGGAACAAAAUAAUCUAGCAAAAGCAUCUGACUUUCACUGGCUUAAGCAGCUGGACCUGAGUGCCAGUGUAGGAGACUGUCCCUUUCUCAGGGACCUUGGAACAGGUGAUGAUGCAGCUACACACACCGACAGCUUGUCUCAGGCAGAGAAGAGCCCCUGUAUGUCCUCCUCAAUGAACUCUGCUGAUGACUCAGACCUGGACACAGAUGGUGAUACUGAGGCCAACAACAAAAGAGCGGAAGAGGUUCAGCUUCCAUUCCCAGUGGAGCAAAUCUCAGUGCUGAGCCGGAGUGAAUUUCAGCAGCUUCUGAAAAAACAUUCGUUGACCCAGGAGCAGCUGGACUUUGUCCAUGACGUCCGUAGACGAAGUAAAAACCGUGUGGCUGCACAGCGGUGCCGGAAGAGAAAACUGGACAGCAUAUACAUGCUAGAAUGUGAAAUCAAAGGAUUAAAAAGUGAGAAAGAGCGGCUGCUCCAGGAGCAAACAGAACUGAAGCAAAACCUUGAGGACAUGCAGCAGAGCCUUUGUGGCCUGUGUAAAAGUGUUGAAUCUUGCUCUGAUCAGGACCAGUUACAGAUUCUUUCCAGAUUCUCCUCGCAAGACAUUCCCAUCCCUUCUCCCAACAUUGUUCCAGCAAUUGAAUUGGUAAGUUCAGAGUGUGAGCAGAGCAGGCAAACUGUACAAACAGUUCAAGUCGCUGUGCCGCAGGCCGGCACAGAGGACACGGGCUGCCCUGUUCCUACAUCUCUGCUCAGUGCCUGUCUGGAUAUGAACAGCAGCUUAUAGUCACUGGACUUAAACUACACGGUCACUUGUAAUCAUGCAGGCCCACAGGUCAAAGGGUGAAACUUGGUUCUAUACUGUAAUCCUCUUUUGGGAUAGACAUGCUUUCCUGUGUGUUUCACUAAAUAAUUGUCUGCCUGGUAGAGGCAACUAUCACGUCAGGCAUUUUCUUUGCUGUACUUCUAGUCUUCAUUUUACUGUAGCAAAAAAAUUAACCAGUAUUCAUUGUUUUGAAGGUGCAGGCAAUUUUCAGGUAGUUCCUAAAACUUUCCAUUUGAAAAUUAGGAGGAUAAAAGUAGGUUUGCUUUUCUCAGGGAAGCUCAUAACCUGACCGUAUUUUGAAUCAUGCUGCGCACCCAAACAGGUUGUGUGCACUACCAGAGUUUGGCCAGUCGAUGGAAGUAUAACUCUACCUCACCAGAUGAGACAGACGUGACUAGAGGAACAUAACAGGCUCAGACUGGACCUUUAGGGAGGGUAACUGCACACUGAACUCUAAAUAAGGGAAGGCAAGGAGUUUGUGCUAAUCCACCUGACAGAAAAAUGUGCAAUUUCCUGUUAUCUCAUCAUGCGAUUAAACAAAACUUAUUUCAUUGAGUAAAUGAAAACCCAGUAACAAACCCGGUUUAAAAAACAAACAAACAAAAAAACAAUCUUGUGAUUUAUCUCUGGCUCUUACUAAAAUCUUUUGGCCUUGCCAAAAAAUUAACUUUAACCUUCAAAGUUAAAAAACUUUAACCAACAAAAUUAACAAUACAAGUUCAUGUCUUCAUAAGUUCAUGUCUUUAAAUACAAUAUGUAACAUAGUUGUCUAGAGACUUAGUACUUCUGCAGUGGCUUUGCAAAGAAUAAUUCAGCAGGCUCUAAAAAAUGGUUGAAAUUAAAGACAGAGUCAGAUGGAGGCUGAUAAAUGACCUUAGCACUUUGAAGAGCAAAGGUACCCUGGAAAUCUGCAGACAGGAAAUUUAAAAAAGUACGGCAUAUCUGACAACUAUCCCUGUAAUCCCUGCAGUUUAAACAACUAAGAUUUCAGGGUUAUUCUGUAGAUGCAAGAAAGAUAGCUUUCCUCAAAAAGCACCCGACCAGUCAUUUGAGUUUGUAAAGUUUUUGCCUAUUGGAUAGAAGUGGUAGUUCUACACAAUAAAAACACGUAGCCCCUAUAAAAAUAAAAAGCAACCUGUCGUCUCCUUCACAUAGACAGAUGUUAUUUAAAAAAAAUCCUAAUUGCAUUUUAGCCAUCAACAUAUCCGUUGUUGUCUGUAAAUGGCACACACCUAAGUGUCUACAUGUUUAGGGCAACAUGUAGUCCUUUUGCAGGUAUAGAUGAUGCAGACAACAAUCUUUAAAAUACAUCCCAAAUACACAGUAAACAUUAGGUUUGGAUGUUCUGAGGUUGAUGCUAAGAUGACACAUCAGUCUGCUAGUCAGUGACCCCUCACUUAUAACUGUUGUCAAACAAUCUUUAUGUAAUACUUUAUAAUAAUCAGCCAUUUGCCAAAGCUCACAAAUUCAACAAUGAUACAGCAAGAAUAUUCCAAACAAGGAAAGAAGUGAAUGUUAACCUUAUUGUUUGUUACUAAUUGCCCUUCUUUUACUAUUAUUUCCUCUCUCACUCUUGUAAACACUUAGUUAAAAUUUAUUGCAGUGACACAACCUCCUCAAGGAUCCAUCUGUGAGCAGUAACAUUUAGCAAUCAGUAGCAAUGACUAGUAAUUCAUUUUACUGUCCGUGUUCCAGGCUGCCAAAAGAAAAUUGGGUUGUGCAUUUGUUAAGGUUUAAAUUUUAGGGGCUUAACAAAGCAACAAUCUGAUCCGACACUGGUCUGAGUGCUCCUCUUUCAUUGCAGACUGGAGAGGAUCUUAUAUCAAACAAACCAGUACAGAACAGAAACACCACUUUAAGAAGGUCUUGUAGAGUUGAAGAAGCAAUUUUGUCAAGAUGUUUUUGUCUUCUGAUGUGAAUUAUUAUUUUGUGUCCUUUGAAAUAACUACGGUAGCACUUGGGGACAAUGAAAGAAAAAGCAAUCUCAUUUUGUUUUCCUCAGAACAGAAUCCUCAAGGUUAAAGUGGUAAUUACACCAGCAGCCAUGGAGCAACUCAUAAAACUGGAACCUGUUUUUGAAAAGUAACCUCACACACUGACAAAGAGAUGUCACUCCGAGCACGACAACUGGUUUUCCAUCUAAAAAGCAAAAUGAUUAGAUCAUUAUAAUACUACAGACAUCAGAUAUGAUCUCUGUCCGCUGGAACGAUGCAUCUGUACCAAAUCUUCAAUUUGAUGUGUGUCAGCGUGAAUAUCACCCUCAAAAAAGCACUACAAGCACCUAUUUACAAAUUUCCAUCUUAAAACUCAGGAUUGUUCCACAGUGUUUGUCUUUUAUAUACGGUUCAGAAUUUACAGCAUUGUAGUGCAAGACUAAGAUGAUCCCUCUUUUGCAAGCUACACAGGACGAAAGACUUGAUUUGAGGAGGAAGCAGCUGCGAGGCAUGGCAAGGUCAGAGGCCCAUAAUCCGCGGCCUCAUUCAUGCGAGAUUAAAAACCUGCUCUGAGUUCUGAUUAAGAACGCAGGGUUAGAAGAUUAAAGACCAGCAAACAAAAUGAAAGCAGUUAAAGCCCAAUCCUGGAAUUCAUCAGAAUACCAAAACCUUAAACUGUCAUAAUGUGAGAUUAAUGCAAAGCCCUCUUGACCUCAGUAUCUGUCUUGAUACAUAUUCUGUGUCAUAGCCUAUAUUUCCUUUUUUUGUCCCUAAAAUCUGCAUUCAGACUUUUCUUUGGUGUUGUUUGUUGUUUUUCUUCACCUUCUCAUUUUCUUUGUUCUUAUUUGGGUCAUUUAUUUUUUUAAAUCAAAGUGACAGCUUGAAUUGUCUUAGAUUAUUGUCGAUGUAAUCAUAAAUUCUUUAUUUUUUAUUGUCACACAAUACAUGAUUAUAUUUCCAUAAAGCGUUUAUGUCCCUUUUAUGCAAUGAUUCAAGUCAUUAUCCUCUUGACGGUGGAGUCGUACUACACUCAGGGAGCAAGGAUUAGGAAACAGGAGGGAAAGGGGAAAAAAACAAGAUUAGAAAUUAAAGCAUCUGGAAGUUAGCUUGCUCACAACAUUGCUAAAGGAGAACAUAUAUGCUAAUAACAAUGACAUUGCUCAGUGUAGGACUGCAGAGAGUUUCUUUUUAUGGCACAGAUGCAAAUAAUAUGUAGAAGGUAGCAGGCACCAAUAUUUUAAGCUCGAAUGCAUGAUUAUGGUUGUAAAUAUGACACUUCUUAUCCAUUCUCCUUGUGAGAUAAACACAACAAAGCGCUGAAGAAAAGUUGACAAUUCAAUUUUGGAAUAGCACGCCAACAUGAACCAAGAUCCUUAUUAGAAUAUUGGUCUGAAACCCAGUAAAUAGCAGUUAAUAUCCUGAAAUGUCAAUUAGCAUCUCCAAUGGUGUUUCCAAAAUAGAAACACUGUGAAUGCAAAACUAAUGAGAGAAGAUCUAUAUACCAAUGAUUUUUCUCUAGUUUAAACCCUGGAGAAAGACACAAUACUUGUAUAAUUAAUCCCUGCAUAAGGUCUGUGACCUUCUUGCAGCACCACAUAAGUCUCAUAAGCUACUGUCUCCUAACUGAUUACAUGCUGAAGUGCUGAACUUCAUUUUGGGGGUAGUGCAGAGAAAGGGGCUGUAUCCCAUUGACAGGAUUAUAUGAAUGAGGACCAUAAUACUGUAAUCUCACAGAGAAAUGAGAGGAACAAGGGGACAUGCUGGCCCCAGCUAGGCAGCACCCUGAUCUGCAACCUUCAGAUCAACAGCUGGUUGUACAGUGACAGAUUACACUCACACUUGUUUCUCACCCUAACAAUCCUCCCUGUGUUGAAUUUAGAACACUAUAAGCACAAGAAAGAGUAUUUCAGGACAAAAUCUCACCAUACUGUACCAGAGUAUAUUAUUUUACUAGUCAUGGGGAAAUUGUUAGAAUUUAUCAGUGUCAAAAGACAAGCAGGAAACCAAAGAAAUGAUGCCUUCAAUUCUGCCAAGUACACUGGUUUUUAAUUAACACCACUGUUGUGAGAGAUUCGGCAGAGAGUCUUUUUUUUUCAGCUUAGCUGUGCAGAAAAAAGUCCACAAAGCUUUAAAGGAACCCAUCAACCUUUGAACAAAGACAAACAGAGUAGGUUUUUCAUCCAUUUCAGAUCUUUUAACAAUAUAAAACACAUUUCUAAGAUGUAUUUUAAGUAACAGUAAAAAAGUACACCUAUCUCAAUGACAGAA